UAAAAUGAGGAACAAAAAUAUACUAGGAAUAGAAUUUUGAUAUAAUUUUUUUUUCAAUAAAAAUAGAAUUUAUUUAAACAAGUUGGAAAGGGAGGAAAAUAUAUGGAAAAAUAUAAAGAUGUAUAUACUGUAUGAACGCAGUGGUAUAAAUAUGAACGAUACAGUAGCGUCAACAUCUGUCUGACUUUAUCCAUCAUUUCCAGAUACAGUAAGGUGGAACUGAGGAAACAAACAGAGAUGGAAAACACUGCAUUUGAAGAAUAGGGACUUGGAACAGAAAAGUCUGCUUCAUUAAGUCUGUGGUUACUUUGUUCUCUGGAUCAAAGUCUCUUGUAAUACCGACUCACUGCUGUGAACCGUAUUUGUACACGGAAAGUUACAAUUACUGUGAAACAUGAAGAAGCAGCAUGACUCUCUACACACCCUAAAUGCCCCGUGAAGAUUGAAAAUCCCAGUGAUCAUGAACCAUUCUGCUCUCUGGACCUCUCUGAUCCAUCCUAAGGUCCGGUUUCUGGUUGUUUCAUCACCUCUCACUGCUGAUGAGGAUGUUCCACAUGGACAGCCUGGAGAUACAGGAGAUUACUGUGGAAGGUGUCACAUAGAAAUCAUUUGAAUUGAGGAAUACAGACAGUUUCUGUCCAACAAAAAUAGACAUGUUUAACCUACUAUCAAUUUCUUGGUUACAAAACCGUGGUAUAAUGUAAAAUUUAAAAAAUAUUGCACGUUAUCAAAGGGAAAAUGAUUUAUGAUCACUCUCCGGUGUCACCAAGUGUGAGCAGCAAUUGUCUUCCCCUUGAAUUCUGCGUUCGGGUCUGAGCUUUCAGUAUCUCAAGAUUCCUCUUGGCCCGGUGUAUUAGCAGGAGCUCAUCACAGCAUCACACCAAAGCACAAACACUUUCCUUCCUCUCUAGUAAAUUUAUACAGCAUAGACUUGUUGAGUGCCUACUCAAAAUUUCAUGUACACCCCAGAAACCUUUUGAAAAGCCACUUCAGGCAGUACAUCUUCAUUCCUCUCUAAGUUUAUAGUAGUUUGGAGCCUUUGAGCAGCCACAGUAACUAUCAAAGGGGCAGUAGAGAUGCUUCUGCUAUUGCAGCCUUUAAUCUGGAACCUCCUGUCGGACAUUAUGACCUCUGUGGGAUCUGCAAAAUAUCUCAAAUAAUUUUUUCUUUAGAAAAAAAACUAAACAAAAUUCAAUGCAGUAUCAUCUUGGUGAAAAAUUGAUUUUUUAGUAUGA